UUAAAAUUUACAAACAACAUUCUGAUAAGCAUAAAGCAUAUUUUUUGCACACCAUAAACCAUAAAUAGAUGGGUUCAACAAAAGUGGAUUUUUGCACAUCACAGUGUAGGUAUAUAGAUUCUAAUAAAAAAGAACAAAGGUAAAUUAGCAGUCACUAAAACAAAGGGCGUUUUUGCCUGACAAUUAUUAACACAAAUGGAUUAAGCACACAAAAAUAACAAAUCUAAACAGAAGAAGAAAUAGAUCACAGACACAAUUUGGUUUUGCACUUAAUCCUAGCACAAUUUCUUAAAAAAUCCAAGAGUUUGUAAUUUAACAUUUUUUCAUGUCAUAUAUAUGAUCACUUUUGAUGAAUAAUUAAUUUAGAAUGUUGGUAACUCAAUCUUGUGAUAGGAACCAUUAUCAGACAUUUGAAACUUGAAAGCUAACAUUGCUAUAAAAGUACAAAGAGAAGUUUAUUAGAUUAUACUUUGGAUAAGUACAAUGUACAAAAAUUCAUAUAAGCCAAGGUACUAUUUGGCAUGACUAUGAUAGCAUAUAAUGAAAUUCAUUAAAUAUUUGUGACAGUGCAAUUGCAUGAGAAAGAACCCCUAAGAAUGCUUAGUAUGCAGUGCUUAAGUCAUUAGUUGCCUUCUCUUCUUCUGGUUGAUUUCAGAUAAAUAAUAAGUGUAGGAAUCUAGAGCUAUAUUUUAAAAAAUCAGGAUUCCUAACUGAAAAGAAGCAAUGAGAAAUCAUGUUCCGGAAGCAGAAAAUUAAAACUCAAAAUAUAGAAUUCAAAAGAACUUUACUGGAGUAAUUUAAAUCUCUGGGCUCAUCUGAUCCAGAGGUACAAAACUUCUGGAACUUUUGUCUGUGUCUGCUUGUUUAAGAAGGAUUUCUCUGAUAAGAGGUUUUACAGAGAAGCUGAACCUUCUUUGCAGUGACAUGAUUGUCUCU
rnacentral:lncRNA from 1 species